CUUUUCUUUUUUUUUUAUUCUUCUGAGAGAGUGAGUCAAGUCGCACUCGAAUUGGAGGAAGUUCUGUAAGCUGACGUGCCGCAGGAGGGAACCGCAACAAUAGCUGCGCAACCGUCAACCCUCCAACUCGUUCGAGCAUCACGACCCGUGACGGGACGGACCGCGGGACUUUCCCCCCCUUCUGCCGCACUGGAUCUCCGCAGACCGAACAAAAGAAACCAGCCUCACGAUGGUCGCGGGGAGUGCCGGAGCCUAUCCCAGCUGUCAACGGGCAGGAGGCGGGCGGGGUACACCCUGAACUGGUCGCCAGCGAAUCGCUGGGCACAUAGAGACACACAGGAAACCGGAGUGCCCACCCGGAGAAAACCCACACAGGCACGGGGGAGAACGUGCAAACUCCACACAGGCGGGGCCGGGAUCGAACUGUCUAAUUCCAGGUUCUGGAGCCACGUGGAGGGUUCCAAUUCCACGCUGAACAGCAAGUUCCCCAAGGGCGGUCCAAACCUGCCGGAAGCCAAGUCCUCCUCCGUGGGGUGUACCUAACGACGUGUACCGUGAGUGCGAGCACCUCCAACAAUUUGAUGGCUUGGCUAUUUCCUGGUUUCGGGAGCUUCUUCACCAACCAAUCAGGACCCCACGAUACGCACUGCUCUUUGAUCCUUCUCGUCACAUGCAGAAACACACGCAGACGGGUGCUGCUGUUUUGGUUUCCAAUAACGUCCAAAUUGGCACUUUUAUUGUAAUAAGUUAAACAUAUUUUUUCAGUACCGUCUC